rnacentral:lncRNA from 10 species
ACAGGGUCUGGCUCUAUAGCCCAUGCUGGAGUGCAGUGGUGAGAUCUUGGCUCACUGCAACCUCUACCUCCCAGGCUCAAGACAUCUUCCCACUUCAACCUCCCCCGUAGCUGGGACUACAGGCAUGUGCCACCACACCUGGCUAAUUUUUGUAUUUUUAGUAGAGACAGGGUCUCACUUUGCUCCCCAGGCUGUUCUCAAACUCCUGAGCUCAAGAGAUCCCCCGACCUCGGCCUCCCAAAAUGCUGGGAUUACAGCUGUGAGUCACCACGCCUGGCCCCAACCAGUAAUUCUUAGGUAAGAGAGAGAGGUGCACCAGGGAUGCUGGUAGGAAAAGGAAUUCAAGUCCUACUAAUAAUACAAUAUUAAUGCUCUCACAGAUCUAAGAGAGCUCCUAAUCAACAUUUUAUUUUCAUUUUGGGGGUAUUUGAGGCCCUAAAAGGGAAAAUGAAGAGCUAUUUGAAGUCUUGGCCAAUAACUUCAAUGAUCCAUUCUCUUCAAUCAGAACCAGUGCUUGGCCACUAGAGAAAAAGUACAUACAGUUACAAAUUGAUGGUCAAGUUGCCAACUGCCAUUUAUUGGGAAGUAUCAAUAUGGUACUUCUGUCUCUGAGCUCACCAUACUGGCUACUGGCACCAUUGAGCUCAUGAGUCAAGUUAUGGUUCUACCUGACUAGUUAUUUCACUGUUUUCUGAACAUUUUCCUCAUCCUUCGCUCUCUCACGGAAUAAUUUUCCUUGCUUCCAGUCUAAAAUGAAGCAAAAAUUAAGCCUCAAAGAAACUGUUUACCUCUGUGAGACAGUGUAGUGAAUUCUUAUAAUUUUAAGUUGCCUCAGCAUCCAUUUUGAAUACAAGUUUAAGUUUCUCAUACCAAGAGCAGCAAUCAAUUGCCCUUGACACAGUUUCAAGUUCCACAUGACACACAAAUGGCUCAAGCUAGUGGCCAGAGAUAAAACUUAGAGGCAUCCCUCCUUCCUAGCAGGCUAGACCCCUCGCUUUCUGCACCUCCUGUAAAUAGACUUUUAGGCAUUUGCCUGCAUACUUAAAGUGACCCACACCCUAUUUCCUUAUAUAUACUGCUAGUUGUCAUGUGUUGUCUCUUUCUCUUCCUGAAUUUUCAUUUCUACCUCCCAUGACCCAUGACCUGGGGCCAGAAGACUGCCCUGCGAACUCAUUGAGCACUCCCUGCCCAGAAUCUGCAGGGAUACCCCUCAUCUCCUUGGUUGACUGACAGACUUCAGUUCGGGUUGUGCUUCAAGAACCAGCACAAAUGGCACCUCCUUUAUUCAGUUAUUUACCUGAACUCCCACAAUAGAGUGAAAUUUGCACAUACCUUAAUCAGAACAAAUGGAUUUCUGUAGAUAUUCCUUGGAUUUGUUAUGGAUUUAUGCUUGUGCAUCAUGAGCCUAUUGAAGAAAAUCCUGGAGAUCCUGGAUGUGGAGGAGCCACAUGAUGGAAGGAAUGUGGAUCCAAUCACUCUUGGAGAAGAGCCACUGACUGGAAUUGGACUGUG